CAUCGCCGCGGUAAAACGUAGGUGGCAAGCGUUGUCCGGAAUUAUUGGGCGUAAGGCGCGCGCAGGCGGAUCGGUCAGUCUGUCUUAAAAGUUCGGGGCUUAACCCCGUGAUGGGAUGGAAACUGCCAAUCUAGAGUAUCGGAGAGGAAAGUGGAAUUCCUAGUGUAGCGGUGAAAUGCGUAGAUAUUAGGAAGAACACCAGUGGCGAAGGCGGCUUUCUGGACUGUAACUGACGCUGAGGCUCGAAAGCCAGGGGAGCGAACGGGAUUAGAUACCCCGUAGUCCCUGUCUCUUAUACACA
rnacentral:rRNA from 1 species